rnacentral:rRNA from 1 species
AUUGAACGCUGGCGGCAUGCCUUACACAUGCAAGUCGAACGGCAGCACGGGAGCAAUCCUGGUGGCGAGUGGCGAACGGGUGAGUAAUACAUCGGAACGUGCCCAGUUGUGGGGGAUAGCCCGGCGAAAGCCGGAUUAAUACCGCAUACGACCUAUGGGUGAAAGCGGGGGAUCGCAAGACCUCGCGCUACUGGAGCGGCCGAUGUCGGAUUAGCUUGUUGGNGGGGUAAAAGCCUACCAAGGCAACGAUCCGUAGCUGGUCUGAGAGGACGACCAGCCACACUGGGACUGAGACACGGCCCAGACUCCUACGGGAGGCAGCAGUGGGGAAUUUUGGACAAUGGGCGCAAGCCUGAUCCAGCCAU